UACGGAGGAUGCAAGCGUUAUCCGGAAUGAUUGGGCGUAAAGCGUCCGUAGGUGGCGAUUCAAGUCUGCUGUUAAAGCGCAGGGCUUAACCCUGUAAAGGCGGUGGAAACUGGAGAGCUAGAGUGUGGUAGGGGUAGAGGGAAUUCCCGGUGUAGCGGUGAAAUGCGCAGAUAUCGGGAAGAACACCCGUGGCGAAGGCGGCUCUCUGGGACGGUACUGACGCUGAGACGCGAAAGCGUGGGGAGCGAACAGG
rnacentral:rRNA from 1 species